rnacentral:rRNA from 1 species
AGCAGCCGCGGUAAUUCCAGCUCCAAUAGCGUAUAUUAAAGUUGUUGCAGUUAAAAAGCUCGUAGUUGAAUUUCGGGAUCAAGUCGUCGGUCGUGCCUCGGUACGCACUGGUGACAUUGGUUUCUCCCUUCUGAAGAACCUUGAUGUCAUUAAUUUGGUGUCUUGGGGAAUCAGGACUGUUACUUUGAAAAAAUUAGAGUGUUUAAAGCAGGCUCACGCUUGAAUACAUUAGCAUGGAAUAAUGAAAUAGGACGUUUGAUUCUAUUUUGUUGGUUUCUAGGAUCGACGUAAUGAUUAAUAGGGAUAGUUGGGGGCAUUAGUAUUCAAUUGUCAGAGGUGAAAUUCUUGGAUUUAUUGAAGACUAACUACUGCGAAAGCAUUUGCCAAGGAUGUUUUCAUUAAUCAAGAACGAAAGUUAGGGGAUCGAAGACGAUCAGAUACCGUCGUAGUCUUAACCAUAAACUAUGCCGACUAGGGAUCGGAUGAUGUUAAUUUUUAAUGUACUCAUUCGGCGCCUUAA